GUGGUUUCCUGUUUGCUGUACAGUAUACAGCUCAUUGAGUGCGGGCACAUUUGCAAAUGGCUGGUUAAAUAAACGUUUCAACAUGAUAAUGCAGACCCCAUUUUGCAAGGAUCUGUACACAAUUCCUGGAAGCUGAAAAUGUCCCAGUUCCCCUGCGCAAGGCAGUUAACCCACUGUUCCCCGGGCACCGAUGAAACAGUUGUCGAUUAAGGCAGCACCCAACACCUCUCUGAUUCAGAGGGGUUGAGUUAAAUACGUUUCCCUUUCUUCCAAGGCCUGCAUACUCAGACAUGUCAACCAUUGAGCAUUUUUUGGGAUGCUCAGGAUCUCCAUGUACAACAGCAUGUUCCAGUUCCGACCAAUAUCCAGCAACUUAGCUCAGGCAUUUUAGAGGAGUGGGACAACAUUCCACAAUCAACAGCCUGAUCAAAUCUCUGCAAAGGAGAUGUGAAGCGCCGCAUGAGGGAAAUGGUGGACAAACCAGACUGGUUUUCUGAUCCACACCCCUACUUUAAAUGUUUCUAUAAGUUAUCUGUGACUAACAGAUGCAUAUCUGUAUUCCACGUCAUGUGAAAUCCAUAGAUUUGGGCCUAAUGAAUUGAUUUCAAUUGACUGAUUUCAUUAUUUGAAACUUCAUUAUAUGAAACUCAAUAAAAUAUUUGAAAUUGUUG